GUUACUGCUAUCGGAGUUCGAUUAAGCCAUGCGAGUCUAAAGGUUUCUUCGGAAACCUUGGCGGACCGCCCAGUAACACGUGGAUAACCUACCCUUGGGACUGGAAUAACCCCGGGAAACUGGGGAUAAUACCGGAUAGAUCAGGGAUGCUGGAAUGCACCUUGAUCCAAAGCUCCGGCGCCCAAGGAUGGGUCUGCGGCCUAUCAGGUAGUAGUGGGUGUAACGUACCUACUAGCCAACGACGGGUACGGGUUGUGAGAGCAAGAGCCCGGAGACGGAUUCUGAGACACGAAUCCAGGCCCUACGGGGUGCAGCAGGCGCGAAACCUUUACAAUGUGCGAAAGCAUGAUAAGGGAACUCUGAGUGCCAGCAUCUAAUGUUGGCUGUCCUUGUGCCUAAAACGCACAAGAUAGCAAGGGCCGGGUAAGACCGGUGCCAGCCGCCGCGGUAACACCGGCGGCCCGAGUGGUAGCCGCUAUUAUUGGGUCUAAAGGGUCCGUAGCCGGUUCGAUAAGUCCUCUGGGAAAUCUGGUUGCUUAACAAUCAGACUGCCAAGGGAUACUGUCGAACUUGAGACCGGGAGAGGUAAGAGGUACUUCAGGGGUAGGAGUGAAAUCUUGUAAUCCCUGGGGGACCAUCUGUGGCGAAGGCGUCUUACCAGAACGGGUCUGACGGUGAGGGACGAAAGCUGGGGGCGCAAACCGGAUUAGAUACCCGGGUAGUCCCAGCCGUAAACGAUGCUCGCUAUGUGUCAGGUACGGUGUGACCGUAUCUGGUGCCGUAGGGAAGCCGUGAAGCGAGCCACCUGGGAAGUACGGCCGCAAGGCUGAAACUUAAAGGAAUUGGCGGGGGAGCACUACAACGGGUGGAGCCUGCGGUUU
rnacentral:rRNA from 1 species